CUUCUCUCUUAUAAGAAUUUUAAAUAUUAAGCCUUUCAUAAGAACAACUAUGGAACAUUCAAAAGAGCUACAAGAUCAGGUAUGCUUAUUCAUAGUCAUGUCUAACUAAACUUUUAUAUUCCUUAUAAUCUCUUGAAUAUCAUAACUGUUUAUCAUGUUAUAGUACUGUUAUAAAGAACAUCUUGAGAAAGCUUGUCAUGUCUAAUAAUGCUGAGAGUAGUUAAGCCCAGACUAUGCCAUCCUAAGGUCGAAACCGGUAGGCAAGGAAGCCGUUUAGGGGAGUAGACAGAGUUGAGGCGCUGUUAGGGUAAAUGAUUGAAGCAAGAAAAAUAUGGUAGUGGCCAGAAAAGACUGUUCAGAAUAACUUAUUAAACAAUGAUAAACCCUAUGAUAAACAAAGAGGCUAGAAGGAAUAUGUUUAGUAAACACAUGAUAAGAAUAAUAAAAAUAGAUCUAAUGAGCAACCACACAUAUCUACUAGAUGACAAUAAUGAUUACAAAAUACUCAUAUUAUAUACUUUUAACCAACUUAAUAACGAUAUUUGAAGAAAAAUUUACGAUAUUUUGGUUACUUUUGAAAUAAUAAACAUAAUGGAACAAGGAUAUACAGAACUAAUUCUAUCAGAGGAAAUAGACGAAUUAUAUUUGUAUGAACUAGAUUUAUAUUCAGAUUAAUGAUCAGCUACGAAUAUCUCCAGUACUGGUUACGAACUAUAAAAAAUAUAAAAUUAUUAGAAAAAUUAUUAAGAGAAAAUGUAGCAGAAUAUCAAAAAACCCAAGAUAUCCAAUACUUAGAAUACACGGGAGAAAAUAUAAAAGAAAUUUUAAGAAAAUAUAAAAGAAAUUUUAAGGCCAAUUCCGCUAGCCGCAAAAUAUUAUGAAAAAACCUUUAGCUUAUAAUACUUAUAAUAAACUAAGGGUCCUCCCUAAGAAAAGCUUAAAACCUCCCAAGAAAACUAUCCUUGUAAAAUGGAAACCCCCUAAUCAUAAUUUCUAUAAACUAAACAUUGAUAGUUCUUGUAUAGGAAACCUAGGAGUGAGAGGAGUAGGAGGGGUGUUUAGGGAUAAUAGGGGCCAAUGGAUCUUAGGCUUCAAUAUGAGAGUCGACCAUGCUACUAACAUAUAUAUGGAAAUCCUCGCCCUAUUUCAUGGAGUCAAAUUAGCACUAACAGAAAAUCUCUUCCCAUUAAUAAUAGAGACUGACUGCUUGGAACUAAUAAGUCUCCUAAAAUCUAAUAAUUGGCUCUACCAAAACUUGAUUGAUGAUUGCAGGUACAUAUUGCGGAAGGUGAAUGAUCCACAGUUGAAGCAUGUUUUUAGAGAGGCUAAUGGAGUAGCGGACCUAUUAGCUAAAAAUGGUUGUAGCUUGGACAAUUUUUGUAUUUUGCAAACUUAUGCUCUUCC
rnacentral:lncRNA from 1 species